rnacentral:tRNA from 1 species
GCCCCGGUAGCUCAGUGGAUUAGAGUAAGCGGCUUCUAUCCGUUAGGUCGUAGGUUCGAAUCCUACCCGGGGUGCCA